UUAUUAUUUACAUUAAUAAUUUUAUUGUGCAAUUCAAUAUAAUUUGAUUAUUUAGAUAUUUAUUAAAAUUUUUUAUUUAAUUUUUAUUUAAUAAAAAUAAUUUAAUUUUUAGUAUAUUUUAUAGAAAUAAAAUUAAUAAUUUAAAGUACUGUGUAGGAAUAUAUUUAAAAUUUUUAUAAGAACUAUUUUAUUAGGUACCUUUUGUAUCAGGGUUAAUUAAAUUUUAUUAAUUUAUUAAUUAUUUUCCCGAAAUAAAAAGAUUUAUAAUUAUAUUUUUUAUUUUAUAUCAAAACAAUAUAUAAUAUAAUUAUAGUUGUUAUAUGCUAUUCAUUUUUUAUAUAUCUGGUUUUUUAAUAAUUUAAUUUAAUUAAUAAUUGAAAGUGUAUUUUUUUAAUUUUAUUAUUUAUUCUCUUUUAAUUAAAUCAGUCUAAGGAUAAGCUAAGACUGAUUUCUAUAAUUUUUUAUGAUUUAAUUUUUGUAGGAUUAGUAUUUUCCAUCUUUUAUUUAUUUAUAUAAAAUUUUAAUUUGUUUUUUAUUUUGUAUUAUUUAGAUAUUUAUUAAAAUUUUUUAUUUAAUUUUUUAUAUUUUAAUAAUGAUUAAAUUAGUAUAAUUUAAAAUAAAAAUAUAAUAACUCGGCAAAUAUUAUUUUUACCUGUUUAACAAAAACAUGUCUUUUUGUUUUUAAUUUAAAGUCAGGCCUGCCCCAUGAUUUAUUUUAAUGGCCGCAGUAUAUUAACUGUGCAAAGGUAGCAUAAUCAUUUGUUAUUUAAUUGAUAACUGGAAUGAAUGGUUUUAUAAAAAAUAUUCUUUUUUUAUUUUUAAUUUAAAAUUUUAUUUUAGAGUCAAAAAGCUUUAAUUUACUUAUUAGACGAUAAGACC
rnacentral:rRNA from 1 species